UACGUAGGGUGCAAGCGUUGUCCGGAAUUAUUGGGCGUAAAGAGCUCGUAGGUGGUUUGUCGUGUUGUUCGUGAAAACUCACAGCUCAACUGUGGGCGUGCGGGCGAUACGGGCAGACUGGAGUACUGCAGGGGAGACUGGAAUUCCUGGUGUAGCGGUGGAAUGCGCAGAUAUCAGGAGGAACACCGGUGGCGAAGGCGGGUCUCUGGGCAGUAACUGACGCUGAGGAGCGAAAGCGUGGGGAGCGAACAGG
rnacentral:rRNA from 1 species